rnacentral:ncRNA from 1 species
AUAAAGCCAUAGACGAAGAAAAGUAGUGAAGGACUGCCCGGACAGAGAAAAAUGCCAAGACUGAGAGCAUUUACGGCGCACUUUCAUGAACAGACACUUCCGAGGCGUUUUUCUGAAAUAUAUGUAGGAAAAACCGCGAAUUGCGUUAUCAAAAAAAGUGAAAGCUUCGGCUUUAACGAGGGUGGUACCGCGGAAAACUUCCGUCCCUGCG